rnacentral:tRNA from 1 species
UGGCUCAGAGGUUAAAGCGUCUGCCUCCAAUGCAGGAGAUCCAGGUUCAAUCCCUGG